rnacentral:lncRNA from 1 species
GUAAAAAUUCAGUGGCAAGGCCUUAUUUGGUAGGCCGAAAUUAGUGGGAAAAAGAUCAUCUUAUAACAUUCCAACACGGGAGACCAAGACGUGACAGUGUAUGUUAAAAUAAGGAAUUACUUAAACUUCACCAAUUGGUUAAAUAGCUUUGACAUUGCACGCUCUUGAAUAUCUUUAAAACUGUGAGAUGCAUACUCCAUAUGCA